rnacentral:rRNA from 1 species
AUCGAGGAUUCGUCCAAGUGAAGUAGAGGACAGUGGCGGACGGGUGAGUAACGCGUGAGGAACCUGCCUUUCAGAGGGGGACAACAGUUGGAAACGACUGCUAAUACCGCAUGACAUAGCGGAACCGCAUGGUUUUGCUAUCAAAGAUUUUAUCGCUGAUAGAUGGGCUCGCGUCCGAUUAGAUAGUUGGUGGGGUAACGGCCUACCAAGUCGACGAUACAUAGGGGGACUGAGAGGUUAACCCCCACACUGGUACUGAGACACGGCCCAGACUCC